UGUAUACUCCCUCUGUUCGGAAAUACUCGUCGGAGGAAUGAAUGUAUCUAGUCGUAUUUUAGUUUUAGAUGCAUCUUUUUUUAUCCAUUCCAGAUACAAGUAUUUCCGGACGGAGUGAGUACUAC
rnacentral:pre_miRNA from 1 species